rnacentral:lncRNA from 1 species
UUUUUUUGGUUAUAGUUGGUUGGUUGGAGUUUAUUUUGUGCGUGUUUUGUUUUGUUAUCAGCUUCUUUUACAGCAGACAGCUCAUGACAGUGGCCAUGGGAGUCAGAACUCUCCUGGCAGUGCCACCCAAAGAGCUGAGGGUUUAUGGCCUUGCUGUGGGGCUUGUGAAGCUGCAGGGACAGGCACAAGUGGCCACACAGAACUGGGCACUGCUCUGCUGCUGGAAGAGCCUGUGCCACCAGAUAAGGGUCUUCAGACUGUGCUAUCUGCCUAACCAGUACGACUUGUAUAACGUGCUCACGUUGCCAGAAGUCAGUCUGAAUUUGCAACUCCCUGGCUAUUCAUCAUUUUUUCCAAGGGUCAUGAGGAAGAUAUCGUUGAGCUGGCAGUGCUGAGCCUAGGAUGCAUCAGGGAGUUCCCUAUACCAGGAACUCAGCUAUAAGUCUGCUUUAGACAUCUGGAGCAAUGGAAAUGGCCUUAAUUGAGGUUAUAAACUAGCUCAUGAUGACAUUUCCUGCCAGAUCUGUGUAUCAUAGAGGGUAUGCAUGCACUGAAAAGUCUUAAAUCAUUUCUGAGCUGGAACAGAAAAUCAAUCUAUUUAAAUAUGUUGUUAAGAGUAAAAGGUUCAUUGAAACCUGCCUUAUACUUACAGCAGCAGAGACUCAAUGGUGUGUAUAGAAAUAUCCUUCACAAAGUUUCAUCCCAUACGUUUUGUUUGAGAUGCUUCUGGGGCAAGUUGAGAGUGGCCAGUUCCCCUCACUGCUUCAUUUUCUAGACUUAUAUCAGCAGCAGGUUUCAGUCAGGCUGAAGAUCAAAGGCUUUGAUCUCCAGUCAUCUCAGCAUAACUAAAAGGAAGCCACAUCUGGAGAAUUUAUCUAAUUCUGCAAGCUAUAAAUACGUAUGGUUUUGGUACUAUGCAGUUAAUCAAAAGGCUGAAAGAAAAUACAUGUGCCAACCUGCAAAGGCUGGAUUGUACUGUAGGAACUGAUGAAAUACCUUCUGAUGCCUAUUUCUGUGUCUAAGUAAACCCACUCAGUGGUUUAGAAUUUUGUUAUGGUGAACUCAGUGCCGAGGACACAAGCCUUCCAGAGUCCUUAAGAAUUAAGUCACUUAUUCCUAAGCAAAUAUAAGUUUACUACAGGGGAAUAGCCCAAAGACUUUCCUUGCAAGAUUUUGAAUCAGCCCAUUCUGAAGACAGGGGCCUCAGGAUAAAACUUGGAUCUAGGUCUGAGUCCUGAAUUUUUCAUUCUCAAAAUUUGGAUCAGCUUAAAGUGCCUGAAUUGCAUCUCUGAUUUUUCCCAUUUGCUCCAAAUCAGCCUUAAACAGCACCAAGUUUAAUUUAAUCAGGCAGCACUUAAAAUAUGUAAUCAGGCUCCAGUGGUGACUCCCUGCUUCAGCCUCCGAAAUGCAACUGAUUUGUGCACCGAAACACCGAGACAAUCGGAACUCCUGAUUAGCUGAAUGUGCCACUUGUGGGAUUAUUUUUAAGUUUAUGUACUUUUGCUGCAGGUUUUUCAAGAGUGUGUAGCUGCUUUAUUUGAAGGCUACACCUAAAUGCUCAUGGCAGAUGUACAGAUAUUGGAGUGGCUGAAGGACGUGUUCGCAGGUCAAUGGCCAAAGUCUGUGCUGGGAAAUGAGGGAUUUGCAGAUACAACACCUGGUUGGGAACAUGCCCCACGAUUUCUGAAGACAAAAAUGGAAGAAUGAGUAAUGAGGAUCCCCCAGAAAUACUCACAAACAAAUAAGCAUCAUGCCUUACACCCACCUGUGCUGCUGCUGGUUUCCUUGCAGGGCAACAUUGCUAAGGAAUCUCCACAUGUCUUUCACCUGCUGGACCCGAGACCCAACUGCAAAAAAUACCAAAACUCAGAGAAAGAAUUUUCUUUGUAGUCAUUGUUGUUUCUCUCCUUUAAACCCCCGUUUUCCACAAGUAGGGAGGAAAGAUCUGUAAUGAAAGACAAAUAUUGAGGAGCAGCCCAGGACAGCUCCCAGUUUCCCAGCAACACAGACACUCCGAUCAUGACUAUUAUGAUUUCACCUUUUAAAGAAUCUCCUGUCUAUGGCUAAUUUUACAUAAUGGGUUUUAUUAAUAUUAAUUAUGUCUCAAGCUCAUAUGUGAUGUAGCUAAGACAUACAGUUUUGAGGCAAACCCCAGCUACAUGGCUGUGAAAGGCAUGAGGAUUGUAGUGAAUUCAGAAGUACUCCCCUCUCCUCACGCCCUCAUCUUUGGGACCAAACCCAACCCUGCCUCCUCCCCAGCUGCAAGGAUGGCUGCUCAUGUUUUCCCAAGGAAUGAUUAUGCUCUGUAGCUUCUCAUAGCAUCCUUCACCUGGCACAAACAACCAUCCAAAUCUGAGCAGUACCUCCAAAUCCGAAGAAAUGGAAUAAACAGUAUCCUGCAGUAAAUACAGCAUAAAAAGUCAUGUUUGGGAGACAGUCUCACCAUACUUUUAAGCUUCUCCAUGUUUUAAAGAACAAUUUCAGAGCAGGACGGAUUCAUUUACAAAGGAAACCACUUUUCUCUUCAGGCACUUGAGAGAGGCUUGUUUCACUGAUCUUGUUCCUGCCAAAUCCUUGCUACAGUGAAAUACUCAGAACCACACUUACUCAUCAGAGGACCAUCCUCUUGGGAAAAUAUUGCCUUACUUUGCCAUAUUUAAAGCAGAAUACUCACAGAUCUCUAAUUGGAAUUCUGUCGACUAAGUAUAUUUCUUGACCAUUCACACCCAUCACUGGGUAAUGGAAAUUUGAUUACUGAUCGUUUGCACCAGAAGAAAAUAAAUUUAAUGCUUUCAACUGGAAUGUGUACAUGGAGUCUGUCCAUACCACUUUUUUCAUUAUCUGGCUGAGAGUAAUUAAUUAUUAUUAAACCUUGUGUGCUGAGUUUGGGCAACUACUUUCAGCAGAAGAUAAUUCUGGAUGGUGAAAUGGCCAUUUAAAACCCGGUCUCCAGGGUUUAUUUUACCAGAUUUUUGCAUGCUUGACUGACCAAGUUUGCAGUGUGAAACCCAGGGGCAACACAGAAAGUUCGGCUUUGCACUGGUUUUGAAAAAAAGAAAAUAAAUCUUAAUACUCUAAAAUUUAUCCCCAGGGUUGAAAGAAGAGAGUACUGUAAUUGUAAUGGGUGUUCAAUAAUUAGUAAUGUGAACCACUGGAGAAUCAUUCCAGCAGUAGCAGUUAAAUAUUCUCUACAGGGGAAAGUGAACAUGAUGAAAAGGCUGCAACUAUAGACGUACCUC